AUCCUCUGUCAGGAUUACUGGGGCAGGGUAACGACUGGAGUGUAUGGGCUGCCGGGAGGUGUAGGUCAUGUGACUCUGGGACGUGUGGUGAUGACGUUAGGUUCCUACAAUAUAGGAUCCGCCCAGUGGCUAUCUUCUAAUUAAGAUCCUUCUCCUGAUUUACCUGUCAAGGAUGGAUAGGGACAGGGACAAGAUGGUGGAAAGUAUAAUAAGCCUCACCCUAGAGAUCCUCUUCCGGCUUACUGGAGAGGACUACACAGUAGUGAAGAAGACCUCUAGUGAGUGCUGUCAGGACCCUGUUCUUGAAAGAUGGGGAAGAAUCUUGAGCCCAAUCACAGGGCCUCCACCUCACCACUUAAUACAUGAGGAAAUCAAUAGAGAGAAGAUCCUAGAACUCACCAACAAGAUGAUUGAGCUGCUGACUGGAGAGGUUCCUAUAAGGUGUCAGGAUGUCACCAUCUAUUUCUCCAUGGAGGAGUGGGAGUAUUUAG